rnacentral:rRNA from 1 species
UACAGGGGGGGCAAGCGUUGUUCGGAAUUACUGGGCGUAAAGGGCUCGUAGGUGGCCAACUAAGUCGGACGUGAAAUCCCUGGGCUCAACCCAGGAACUGCGUCCGAUACUGGUUGGCUUGAAUCCGGGAGAGGGAUGUGGAAUUCCAGGUGUAGCGGUGAAAUGCGUAGAUAUCUGGAGGAACACCGGUGGCGAAGGCGACAUCCUGGACCGGCAUUGACGCUGAGGCGCGAAAGCCAGGGGAGCAAAGCGGG